rnacentral:rRNA from 1 species
UACGAAGGGUGCUAGCGUUGUUCGGAAUCACUGGGCGUAAAGCGCGCGUAGGCGGCCAAUCAAGUCAGGGGUGAAAUGCCACAGCUCAACUGUGGAACUGCCUUUGAAACUGAUUGGCUGGAAGAUGAGAGGGGAUAGCGGAAUUUCUGGUGUAGAGGUGAAAUUCGUAGAUACCAGAAGGAACACCGGUGGCGAAGGCGGCCAUCUGGCUCAUUCUUGACGCUCUGGCGCGAAAGCGUGGGGAUCAAACAGG